GUUUGUUUAAUCUAUUCGUGAAUGUUGAGUGUUUAUGUUGACUGGGAACUAAAGUGCAUUAAUUUUAAGGUGUGUUGCACACGGACGCUUUUUGAGAUGCAACAGGAAAGAACGGACUUUGGUCAGAAGUUAUUCUCCGCGUGUGGAAUAGAAGUUUUACACGUUUUUCUGAGAUAAAAGUAAAGAUGCUUUUUGUGUUUUCCUUUUGAGACGGGUGUUUCAAGUGAACUCAUUCCUUCUGGGUUAAAUGCAGCCAGCGAGUUUGACGGUGGAUUUUGAUGGUGAAUGUGACGAAGGAGAGAAAGAUGACAACUGUAAUAAAUCCAUCAGUAACCAGAA